rnacentral:lncRNA from 1 species
GAGGCUCACCUAAAUUCGUUACCAUCACCAUAGGUAACUCUUCAUUAAUUCAUCAUAAUAGGAAUUAGCUACUCGCACCGAUCCAUCACCAUAGGAUCGAGGCUCACCAAAAGAACCAAAUUUAUGUCAACAUGAAUACAUGGACUCUCAACAUACAACAACAUGUACACAUGACCUCUCUUCUGAUUGGGCAUGCCACCAUCAACAUAAUUCACAUAAACAA